rnacentral:rRNA from 1 species
UACAGAGGGGGCAAGCGUUAUUCGGAAUUAUUGGGCGUAAAGGGCGCGUAGGCGGCAUGGCAAGUGGAUGGUGAAAUCCCUCGGCUUAACCGAGGAACUGCCAUCCAGACUGCUUGGCUUGAGACCGGGAGAGGUGAGUGGAAUUCCCAGUGUAGCGGUGAAAUGCGUAGAUAUUGGGAGGAACACCAGUGGCGAAGGCGGCUCACUGGACCGGUACUGACGCUGAGGCGCGAAAGCGUGGGGAGCAAACGGG